rnacentral:lncRNA from 12 species
AGACAAAAUCACUUCAGAAUUUUCAUCAGUGAGAAUGAGCAUCAUCAGUGUGGAUAAUUUACUGCUCUUGGCUCUGUGACACGAGCACAGUCCCCUGUGUCACAGAGAGCCCUGAUCACAGAAGGGUGGGCUCCCUGUCAGAGAUGACUUCAUCAGGGAUUAAGCCGCUAUGAAAGAUGUUUUCAAAGGUGAUUCUAUAAUCCCCCACUUCCUUCAUACUCUUUUGCAAUGUGAUCUAGACUCUCCCUCCAUCCAGAGAUGAAUUCUUCCCCUCCCCUGGAAUCUGAUUUGACCUUGUGACUUCCUUUGUCCAGGAGAGUGCAGCAGAGGGAUGUUCUGUGGCUUCAGGGCCAAGCCUUAAGAGGCCUUGAAGCUUCCAUUUUCACCCAUUUGGAGCCCUGUGCCAUCAUGCAUAGAUGUCCCACUAUCUCACUGGAAAGACCAUGUGGACAGAGAGGUGCCUGGGUAUUUUAGCCAUCUCAGCUGGUGUGCCAUGUGAUGAAGGCCAUCUUGGAUCACCACUCCAGCUGAUCUGCAGAUGAUUACAACAAGAGUGAGCUCGGGUGAAACCAGAAGAACAGCCCAGCUGAGCCCAUUUCACACUGCAGAAUCAUGAGAAAACAAAGUUGUUAUGCGGCAGACAUAAUGGAUGUGGUUAAUUCUCUGUGACUGGUCUGCCUGUGCAUCAAUAAAAGCAUAUUUGCAAUUUCAAGGCACUAAGAAGAUGAUGAGUUGAGCCUCUGCUCAGCAUCUUAUUGAGCCGAUGGAGAUGUAUUUGAAACAGUCUACCAUGCAGUCUUUGCAGUUAAUGUUCUAUCACCACAAAUGUUUGCCAGCGUCUAGGCUGAAAAAAUGACAGAUGGCAUAGAGACCUAGGUUUUCAAAUGAAGAUCCUCCCUUUGGCACAAUCUUUCUACAAAUAUUUAAGAUCUACCUGCAUGUAG